rnacentral:rRNA from 1 species
GAUGAACGCUGGCGGCGUGCCUAAUACAUGCAAGUCGAGCGAACGGACGAGAAGCUUGCUUCUCUGAUGUUAGCGGCGGACGGGUGAGUAACACGUGGAUAACCUACCUAUAAGACUGGGAUAACUUCGGGAAACCGGAGCUAAUACCGGAUAAUAUUUUGAACCGCAUGGUUCAAAAGUGAAAGACGGUCUUGCUGUCACUUAUAGAUGGAUCCACGCUGCAUUAGCUAGUUGGUAAGGUAACGGCUUACCAAGGCAACGAUGCAUAGCCGACCUGAGAGGGUGAUCGGCCAAACUGGAACUGAGACACGGUCCAGACUACUACGGGAGGCAGCAGUAGGGAAUCUUCCGCAAUGGGCGAAAGCCUGACGGAGCAACGCCGCGUGAGUGAUGAAGGUCUUCGGAUCGUAAAACUCUGUUAUUAGGGAAGAACAUAUGUGUAAGUAACUGUGCACAUCUUGACGGUACCUAAUCAGAAAGCUACGGCUAACUACGUG